rnacentral:lncRNA from 1 species
AUGGUCCAUUCUUUUGUGAUUUCAAUCGUUGAGGUUACUUUAGGGCUUUCCUUGCUGCUUCCUUCUCUGAAUAAAAGUAUGGUAACUAUGGUUACCGCUUUGAGUAUGGUUGAAGAAAGAGUAACAAGACCAAGAAACAGAGAUGGAGACGAGAGUCAUCAAAUUCAAUUACUUCCUACUGACUCUGUGUUAUAUGUUUGGAUUUUACUAUAUGAUCCAAGGUCUUUUGUUCUACAGUGGAAAAUUCACUUUGCUGAAAGUGCCGAUAAUCAUUCAAGGUAUCCUGGCCAAAGCGUUCAUCAUCAUAGGCGGAAAUUGUAUUCUAAUAAUAUCUGUUGGCUGCCAUGCAAUGCGAGGACAUUUGUUAUUCUUGGCCUUGCAUGCAAUCAGUUCAGUCAUCAUACUAACAGGUCUAGUGGCAAUCAGUGUAUACUUAAUAACACAACUUCUGUCGCUGAGUGA